GACGUAGGGCGCGAGCGUUGUCCGGAUUUAUUGGGCGUAAAGAGCGCGUAGGCGGUCUGUCGCGUCGGUCGUGAAAACUUGGGGCUUAACCCUGAGCUUGCGGUCGAUACGGGCAUGACUGGAGUUCGGCAGGGGAGACUGGAAUUCCUGGUGUAGCGGUGAAAUGCGCAGAUAUCAGGAGGAACACCGGUGGCGAAGGCGGGUCUCUGGGCCGAUACUGACGCUGAGGAGCGAAAGCGUGGGGAGCGAACAGG
rnacentral:rRNA from 1 species